rnacentral:rRNA from 1 species
AGAGUUUGAUUCUGGCUCAGGAUGAACGCUGGCGGCGUGCUUAACACAUGCAAGUCGAACGGAAACGUAUUGAAACCUAGUGAUAUACGUUUAGUGGCGGACGGGUGAGUAACGCGUGGGUAACCUGCCGUAUUCUGGGGGACAACAGUUGGAAACGACUGCUAAUACCGCAUAAGACCACAGAGCCGCAUGGCUCAGGGGUAAAAAACUCCGGUGGAAUACGAUGGACCCGCGUCUGAUUAGCUAGUUGGUGAGGUAACGGCCCACCAAGGCAACGAUCAGUAGCCGGCCUGAGAGGGUGAACGGCCACAUUGGGACUGAGACACGGCCCAAACUCCUACGGGAGGCAGCAGUGGGGAAUAUUGCACAAUGGGCGAAAGCCUGAUGCCAGCGACGCCGCGUGAGUGAAGAAGUAUUUCGGUAUGUAAAGCUCUAUCAGCAGGGAAGAAAAUGACGGUACCUGACUAAGAAGCCCCGGCUAACUACGUGCCAGCCGCCGC